UUAGCUUUGCCCACCUCUCUGCAUUUUCUUCAAUAAAAAAAAAAUCACAAAUUAAUAUUUUUAAGCCAAGCGAGAUCUUUCUUGGUAAUUCCCACCAAUCUAAUGAUGUCUAAAUUCUAGUUCAUUUAGGUAAAGAAGAAACCAGCUCUCCGCUAAUCAUAUUAACACUUGAAAAUGUUGAGAAUUCCUAGUGGCCUUAAAAUUCUUUGAACAAUUCAAUAUUUGAUUAUUGGUCCAAGAGUCGGCAUGGGAAUACUCUCUCAUGACAAACCCUUGAUUAGUUUUAACAUCGGCGAUGUUGCAAACAAUCAUGUGUUCCUCUCAAAACUGCCAGUCAAGCCCCAGUAAUAAAUUAAUUCGAGAGCUAUCUCCAGCUCCAUCUGUAUGAUACUUUAAAAGCAUUGUUCCAGUCUUCGAAGACAAUGGUGCUGAAAUAAUUUAUGCUUAAAACCCCGUGAUUUUAACUUUCCUUUCGAAUAAAAAGCCUGAGAGAAGUAAGAUUUCUCACCUUAAUUAGCCAUGAUCGGGCUGUUGUUCAACUCCUGUUAUAGCUUCUGGUUUCUUCUAAUCUGCUGCAGCUUCAAGCCUUCAGCACCUGCAGACCCACAAGCCAGCAAGAUCGAGAAAGAGAGAGAGAGAGGAGAUAAAUUUGAGGAUGCAGCUGAAUCUAGCGCCGGUGAGGGCCAAUUUAGAAUGUUACGGUCGUAUUUAGUUAAAGUUGAUAUUAGCGCAUAUUCAACAUAUAAUUAAUAGGUGAUCCAAAAUCGUACCUUUUAAUCCUAAAAGCAGAAGCGAAUCAUAUUCAACUAGUAAUUCAUUUUAUAGAUUUUUACUUAAUAUUUUAGCUUUGCUUAUUUAUUUAUUUUGAAGAGUUCCAUAGUUUGGUUUUGAUACAGCUGCUUGUUAUAUAAUCCAGCUUUACUAGACUGUCUCGGUUAUAAAUUUAUUUUUCCUAGCGAAAUAGGUGUAAAAAUACCUUUUAUAGAGCUUUGGCUACCGACUUCAAAAAAAGUCUAGAUAGGGGACAAAUGCCUUAUGCAGGCAGUUAGGUAAGAGUGGAGUUUUUACUUUUUAACACUCCUCUAAAAUCUCUGUAACACCCUUUCUAAGUUUAUUUUUAAAAUAUUCUUAGUUAAAUUGAUAAAUUAUGAAUUGAUGUAUUAAAACUAG
rnacentral:lncRNA from 1 species